rnacentral:rRNA from 15 species
CCUGCCAGUAGUCAUAUGCUUGUCUCAAAGAUUAAGCCAUGCAUGUCUAAGUACGCACGGCCGGUACAGUGAAACUGCGAAUGGCUCAUUAAAUCAGUUAUGGUUCCUUUGGUCGCUCGCUCCUCUCCUACUUUGAUAACUGUGGUAAUUCUAGAGCUAAUACAUGCCGACGGGCGCUGACCCCCUUCGCGGGGGGGAUGCGUGCAUUUAUCAGAUCAAAACCAACCCGGUCAGCCCCUCUCCGGCCCCGGCCGGGGGGCGGGCGCCGGCGGCUUUGGUGACUCUAGAUAACCUCGGGCCGAUCGCACGCCCCCCGUGGCGGCGACGACCCAUUCGAACGUCUGCCCUAUCAACUUUCGAUGGUAGUCGCCGUGCCUACCAUGGUGACCACGGGUGACGGGGAAUCAGGGUUCGAUUCCG